rnacentral:tRNA from 1 species
GGUUCCGUGGUGUAGUGGUUAUCACAUCCGCUUUACACGCGGAAGGCCGCCAGUUCGAUCCUGGCCGGAAUCA